rnacentral:rRNA from 1 species
GUGGGGAAGAGUGGCGAACGGGUGAGUAACACGUGGGCAAUCUGCCCUGCACUCUGGGAUAACUCCGGGAAACCGGAGCUAAUACCGGAUACGACUCUCCAGGGCAUCCUGGAGGGUGGAAAGCUCCGGCGGUGCAGGAUGAGCCCGCGGCCUAUCAGCUGGUUGGUGGGGUAACGGCCCACCAAGGCGACGACGGGUAGCCGGCCUGAGAGGGCGACCGGCCACACUGGGACUGAGACACGGCCCAGACUCCUACGGGAGGCAGCAGUGGGGAAUAUUGCACAAUGGGCGCAAGCCUGAUGCAGCGACGCCGCGUGAGGGAUGACGGCCUUCGGGUUGUAAACCUCUUUCAGCAGGGAAGAAGCGCAAGUGACGGUACCUGCAGAAGAAGCACCGGCUAACUACGUGCCAGCAGCCGCGGUAAUACGUAGGGUGCGAGCGUUGUCCGGAAUUAUUGGGCGUAAAGAGCUCGUAGGCGGCCUGUCGCGUCGGAUGUGAAAGCCCGGGGCUUAACCCCGGGUCUGCAUUCGAUACGGGCAGGCUAGAGUUCGGUAGGGGAGAUCGGAAUUCCUGGUGUAGCGGUGAAAUGCGCAGAUAUCAGGAGGAACACCGGUGGCGAAGGCGGAUCUCUGGGCCGAUACUGACGCUGAGGAGCGAAAGCGUGGGGAGCGAACAGGAUUAGAUA